GCUCGGAAGCAUCUUGAUAUUCCUAAAGUCAAGAACUUUCAAUGCAUGACUGCAUAAAACUCCCAUAAACUCAAAUUUCUUACACUCACAGGCAACAAUCUCUUCAGAUGAAUUGAAACUUACUGUAUAUUCUUUUUGUUGCCCGUAUAUGCUCACUUUGUACUCAAACAUAGAUCCAUUCUCAGUGCACCGGUUAAUGACAAUAUUCAAAGAGGUUUCAUAUUCUUGCUGCAGUAAUUCGAAUAUCUUCGGAGUGUAUAUAUCUCUUGCUUGCUUCAAGAGAAUCACAUCCCCCAUCAGUAUUGGCAAUCGCUGACUCAUAUCAUAAUUAGC
rnacentral:misc_RNA from 1 species